rnacentral:rRNA from 1 species
UACGUAGGGUGCAAGCGUUAAUCGGAAUUACUGGGCGUAAAGCGUGCGCAGGCGGUUAUGUAAGACAGAUGUGAAAUCCCCGGGCUCAACCUGGGAACUGCAUUUGUGACUGCAUAGCUAGAGUACGGUAGAGGGGGAUGGAAUUCCGCGUGUAGCAGUGAAAUGCGUAGAUAUCUGGAGGAACACCGAUGGCGAAGGCAGCCCCCUGGGCUAACACUGACGCUCAUGCACGAAAGCGUGGGGAGCAAACAGG